rnacentral:rRNA from 1 species
GUUUUCCGUAUGGGGAAUCUACCAAUGUCUGGCUAAAUUUGUGUCUCUUGUCUGAUCUUGGAAGCUAAGCAGGAUUUCAUCUGCUUAAUACUUGGAUGGGGGACCACCUGAGGAGACCACAUAAUGUAAACC